GUAUUCACUUUGACAGUACAUAUACUAAAGUUGGAAUGAUACAAUUAGAUUAACAUGGCCCCAGUACAAGGAUGACGCGCAAAAAAGUUCUGAAGACUGCGGGUUC